UACGGAGGGUGCAAGCGUUAUCCGGAUUCACUGGGUUUAAAGGGUGCGUAGGUGGGGAGGUAAGUCAGUGGUGAAAUCCCCGAGCUUAACUUGGGAACUGCCAUUGAUACUAGCUCUCUUGAAUACCUUGGAGGUGAGCGGAAUAUGUCAUGUAGCGGUGAAAUGCUUAGAUAUGACAUAGAACACCAAUUGCGAAGGCAGCUCACUACACGGUAAUUGACACUGAGGCACGAAAGCGUGGGGAUCAAACAGG
rnacentral:rRNA from 1 species